rnacentral:rRNA from 1 species
ACGCUGGCGGCAGGCUUAACACAUGCAAGUCGAACGGUAGCAGGAGAGAGCUUGCUUUCUUGCUGACGAGUGGCGGACGGGUGAGCAAUGCUUGGGAAUCUGGCUUAUGGAGGGGGAUAACUACGGGAAACUGUAGCUAAUACCGCGUAGUAUCGGAAGAUGAAAGUGCGGGACCGUAAGGCCGCAUGCCAUGAGAUGAGCCCAAGUGGGAUUAGGUAGUUGGUGGGGUAAAGGCCUACCAAGCCUGCGAUCUCUAGCUGGUCUGAGAGGAUGGCCAGCCACACUGGAACUGAGACACGGUCCAGACUCCUACGGGAGGCAGCAGUGGGGAAUAUUGCGCAAUGGGGGGAACCCUGACGCAGCCAUGCCGCGUGAAUGAAGAAGGCCUUCGGGUUGUAAAGUUCUUUCGGUAUUGAGGAAGGAGUGUAUGUUAAUAGCAUACAUUAUUGACGUUAAAUACAGAAGAAGCACCGGCUAACUCCGUGCCAGCAGCCGCGGUAAUACGGAGGGUGCGAGCGUUAAUCGGAAUAACUGGGCGUAAAGGGCACGCAGGCGGUUAUUUAAGUGAGGUGUGAAAGCCCCGGGCUUAACCUGGGAAUUGCAAUUCAGACUGGGUAACUAGAGUGCUUUAGGGAGGGGUAGAAUUCCACGUGUAGCGGUGAAAUGCGUAGAGAUGUGGAGGAAUACCGAAGGCGAAGGCAGCCCCUUGGGAAUGUACUGACGCUCAUGUGCGAAAGCGUGGGGAGCAAACAGGAUUAGAUACCCUGGUAGUCCACGCUGUAAACGCUGUCGAUUUGGGGAUUGGGGCUUAAAGCUUGGGCCCGUAGCUAACGUGAUAAAUCGACCGCCUGGGGAGUACGGCCGCAAGGUUAAAACUCAAAUGAAUUGACCGGGGGCCCGCACAAGCGGU